UCAGGAAGCAUACUGCCGCAGAUGGGCCUC
rnacentral:piRNA from 1 species